rnacentral:rRNA from 1 species
AGCAGUAGCCGCGGGAAUACGUAGGGUGCAAGCGUUAAUCGGAAUUACUGGGCGUAAAGCGUGCGCAGGCGGUUAUAUAAGUCAGAUGUGAAAUCCCCGGGCUCAACCUGGGAACUGCAUUUGAGACUGUAUGGCUAGAGUGUGUCAGAGGAGGGUAGAAUUCCACGUGUAGCAGUGAAAUGCGUAGAUAUGUGGAGGAAUACCGAUGGCGAAGGCAGCCCCCUGGGAUAACACUGACGCUCGUGCACGAAAGCGUGGGGAGCAAACAGGAUUAGAUACCCGUGUAGCCCUGUCUCUUAUACC